rnacentral:rRNA from 1 species
GACGAACGCUGGCGGCGUGCCUAAUACAUGCAAGUAGAACGCACAGUUUAUACCGUAGCUUGCUACACCGUAGACUGUGAGUUGCGAACGGGUGAGUAACGCGUAGGUAACCUGCCUGGUAGCGGGGGAUAACUAUUGGAAACGAUAGCUAAUACCGCAUAAUAUUGAUUAUUGCAUGAUAAUUGAUUGAAAGAUGCUAUUGCAUCACUACCAGAUGGACCUGCGUUGUAUUAGCUAGUAGGUGAGCUAACGGCUCACCUAGGCGACGAUACAUAGCCGACCUGAGAGGGUGAUCGGCCACACUGGGACUGAGACACGGCCCAGACUCCUACGGGAGGCAGCAGUAGGGAAUCUUCGGCAAUGGACGAAAGUCUGACCGAGCAACGCCGCGUGAGUGAAGAAGGUUUUCGGAUCGUAAAGCUCUGUUGUAAGAGAAGAACGGGUGUGAGAGUGGAAAGUUCACACUGUGACGGUAUCUUACCAGAAAGGGACGGCUAACUACGUG